CUGGCUCAGGAUGAACGCUAGCUACAGGCUUAACACAUGCAAGUCGAGGGGCAGCAUUUCAGUUUGCUUGCAAACUGGAGAUGGCGACCGGCGCACGGGUGAGUAACACGUAUCCAACCUGCCGAUAACUCGGG
rnacentral:rRNA from 1 species